CAAGUGUGUACGGUGAGGCUUGUAGCUGCUGUGAGGAGGCCUAGGGUUUUUGGGGUCCGCCGAAAAUUAGGCACCGUCUAACGAGAGGCAAGACAAACUCUCUUUAACAGUCGGCAAAGAGGGCCUGGGAUCAAAGAGUGGGUCAGAGCCAGGUCAGACUUCCUCGUCGAAAGGAGAGCGAGUUCGAAGUCGAAGUCGGACAAGAUAAACGGCUAUAAAUAGAUGGCAUUGGACGCCAUUGCGGGAUUCCAAGCCUGGUCGACAGCAUUGGAUUUUGUUCUCCAAGUGUCCUCUAUAGUGUCAGCCGUAGUUGAAUAUUCCAAGAAAGGAAAAAGAGAAAAACCAUAUAAAUACAAUAACUAGUGAAAAGUAGCCAGGAAGUGAGACGGUGAUUAGUGAAACCUCUUCGAUACACCCUUUCGACGGGUCACCCGUUUGGGUCUUAAAUUGGAGGAGGCUCGUCUUCCACGACCGCCAGCUGAAAUUCGUAGAAAUUCGCCGGAGCUUUGGGUCGUCGCCUUGGAGCAGUUCGGCGAGCCAGAGAGGAGAGGCCAACUAGUGCCCGGCAGACGGCAGCCGCGUCGGCUUGUUCAUCGCUCCGCGUAUGCGUCCAUACCCCGUGCGCAUGGGAGGAGGCAAAGAAAAAAAAAGUGUUCUUCAGUGGCGACAAAUAGUGGCAGAUCGAGGGCCCAAAUCGGAAGCGCUUCGUCGAUGGAGGUUCCUGUAAGUCGUUCAAUUGAAUAAAUAAAAUAUGUAUAUGAAAGUUCGAAAAAUAUAUAAAAAUAUGAAAGUUCGCCACGGGAGCGCACCCAAUUAGUGGGUUGAAAAGAGAGGGCAUCAGAAAGUCACCUCUUGAUUCUUUUCCCUACGCCUCUCGUACAUUACACCUUCUCUUUUGGUGGAUCGCUAUGCCAGCAAUUGCUCACAUAAAAUUUUCUUACAUUUCUUUUCUUUUCACUCCUAUUCAAAUCAUCUGUUCUCUCUCAUAUCUAGCCUAAGCUUCUUAUUUAUUUACAGUACUUUACGCAAAUUAUUUAAAAUUAAGUCGUAGCCAAUACUCGGGAAGGGCAAAUGAGAACAUUAAAUUACUGGGGAUCACUAAUUUUAGUCAUUAGAAAUAAAUAAACGUUUAUAAUGUCUGAGUAGAA